UACAGAGGUGGCAAGCGUUGUUCGGAAUUACUGGGCGUAAAGGGCGCGUAGGCGGCCAUCUAAGUCAGACGUGAAAUCCCCCGGCUUAACCUGGGAACUGCGUCUGAUACUGGAAGGCUUGAGUAUGGGAGAGGGAUGUAGAAUUCCAGGUGUAGCGGUGAAAUGCGUAGAUAUCAGGAGGAACACCGAUGGCGAAGGCAGUGUUCUGGGCCAGUACUGACGCUGAGGAGCGAAAGCGUGGGGAGCAAACAGG
rnacentral:rRNA from 1 species